rnacentral:misc_RNA from 1 species
GAUGAAGAACGCAGCGAAAUGCGAUAAGUAGUGUGAAUUGCAGAAUUUAGUGAAUCAUCGAAUCUUUGAACGCACAUUGCGCCCUUUGGUAUUCCUUAGGGCAUGCCUGUUCGAGCGUCAUCUACACCCUCAAGCACAGCUUGGUGAUGGGCGCCUGUCCCGCCCCCCACGGGGGCGCGGACUCGCCUCAAAUGCAUUGGCGGCCGGCGACCUGGCUUCGAGCGCAGCAGAAACGCGUACUCGGGGCCAGGGCGCCCGCUCCCAGAAGCCAACCCACCCAGUUUGACCUCGGAUCAGGUAGGGAUACCCGCUGAACUUAAGCAUAUCAAUAAGCGGAGGA